CGGAUUCUGCAGUGUUCGUUAGUGACCCUUAUACCCCUUGAGCCUUAGAUCCUUAGCUCGGGGUGCUGGUCAGGGGAACGAUGUGCAUGACCGCGCUGGGUUCUGCCCUGCGAGCGGUAAGCCUGUGUUCCCUUACCGAAUCCCCACUUGAACCGUCCGGUUCAAGGGCUGAGGUAGCACGACGGCACAGGUGGAGUCCGC
rnacentral:other from 1 species